rnacentral:rRNA from 1 species
GCCCAAACUCCUACGGGAGGCUGCAGUAGGGAAUUUUCCGCAAUGCACGAAAGUGUGACGGAGCGACGCCGCGUGUGUGAUGAAGGCUUUCGGGUCGUAAAGCACUGUUGUAAGGGAAGAAUAACUGAAUUCAGAGAAAGUUUUCAGCUUGACGGUACCUUACCAGAAAGGGAUGGCUAAAUACGUGCCAGCAGCCGCGGUAAUACGUAUGUCCCGAGCGUUAUCCGGAUUUAUUGGGCGUAAAGCGAGCGCAGACGGUUUAUUAAGUCUGAUGUGAAAUCCCGAGGCCCAACCUCGGAACUGCAUUGGAAACUGAUUUACUUGAGUGCGAUAGAGGCAAGUGGAACUCCAUGUGUAGCGGUGAAAUGCGUAGAUAUGUGGAAGAACACCAGUGGCGAAAGCGGCUUGCUAGAUCGUAACUGACGUUGAGGCUCGAAAGUAUGGGUAGCAAACGGGAUUAGAUACCCCGGUAGUCCAUACCGUAAACGAUGGGUGCUAGUUGUUAAGAGGUUUCCGCCUCCUAGUGACGUAGCAAACGCAUUAAGCACCCCGCCUGAGGAGUACGGCCGCAAGGCUAAAACUUAAAGGAAUUGACGGGGACCCGCACAAGCGGUGGAGCAUGUGGUUUAAUUCGAAGAUACGCGAAAAACCUUACCAGGUCUUGACAUACCAAUGAUCGCUUUUGUAAUGAAAGCUUUUCUUCGGAACAUUGGAUACAGGUGGUGCAUGGUCGUCGUCAGUUCGUGUCGUGAGAUGUUGGGUUAAGUCCCGCAACGAGCGCAACCCUUGUUAUUAGUUGCCAGCAUUUAGUUGGGCACUCUAAUGAGACUGCCGGUGAUAAACCGGAGGAAGGUGGGGACGACGUCAGAUCAUCAUGCCCCUUAUGACCUGGGCAACACACGUGCUACAAUGGGAAGUACAACGAGUCGCAAACCGGCGACGGUAAGCUAAUCUCUUAAAACUUCUCUCAGUUCGGACUGGAGUCUGCAACUCGACUCCACGAAGGCGGAAUCGCUAGUAAUCGCGAAUCAGCAUGUCGCGGUGAAUACGUUCCCGGGUCUUGUACACAC